GGUCAAGUGAAGAAGCGCAUACGGUGGAUGCCUUGGCAGUCAGAGGCGAUGAAAGACGUGGUAGCCUGCGAAAAGCUUCGGGGAGUCGGCAAACAGACUUUGAUCCGGAGAUCUCUGAAUGGGGGAACCCACCUAGGAUAACCUAGGUAUCUUGUACUGAAUCCAUAGGUGCAAGAGGCGAACCAGGGGAACUGAAACAUCUAAGUACCCUGAGGAAAAGAAAUCAACCGAGAUUCCCUUAGUAGUGGCGAGCGAACGGGGAUUAGCCCUUAAGCUUCAUUGAUUUUAGCGGAACGCUCUGGAAAGUGCGGCCAUAGUGGGUGAUAGCCCCGUACGCGAAAGGAUCUUUGAAGUGAAAUCGAGUAGGACGGAGCACGAGAAACUUUGUCUGAACAUGGGGGGACCAUCCUCCAAGGCUAAAUACUACUGACUGACCGAUAGUGAACCAGUACCGUGAGGGAAAGGCGAAAAGAACCCCGGAGAGGGGAGUGAAAUAGAACCUGAAACCGUAUGCGUACAAGCAGUGGGAGCCUACUUGUUAGGUGACUGCGUACCUUUUGUAUAAUGGGUCAGCGACUUAUAUUCAGUGGCAAGCUUAACCGUAUAGGGUAGGCGUAGCGAAAGCGAGUCUUAAUAGGGCGUUUAGUCGCUGGGUAUAGACCCGAAACCGGGCGAUCUAUCCAUGAGCAGGUUGAAGGUUAGGUAACACUGACUGGAGGACCGAACCCACUCCCGUUGAAAAGGUAGGGGAUGACUUGUGGAUCGGAGUGAAAGGCUAAUCAAGCUCGGAGAUAGCUGGUUCUCCUCGAAAGCUAUUUAGGUAGCGCCUCAUGUAUCACUCUGGGGGGUAGAGCACUGUUUCGGCUAGGGGGUCAUCCCGACUUACCAAACCGAUGCAAACUCCGAAUACCCAGAAGUGCCGAGCAUGGGAGACACACGGCGGGUGCUAACGUCCGUCGUGAAAAGGGAAACAACCCAGACCGCCAGCUAAGGUCCCAAAGUUGUGGUUAAGUGGUAAACGAUGUGGGAAGGCUUAGACAGCUAGGAGGUUGGCUUAGAAGCAGCCACCCUUUAAAGAAAGCGUAAUAGCUCACUAGUCGAGUCGGCCUGCGCGGAAGAUGUAACGGGGCUCAAACCACACACCGAAGCUGCGGGUGUCACGUAAGUGACGCGGUAGAGGAGCGUUCUGUAAGCCUGUGAAGGUGAGUUGAGAAGCUUGCUGGAGGUAUCAGAAGUGCGAAUGCUGACAUGAGUAACGACAAUGGGUGUGAAAAACACCCACGCCGAAAGACCAAGGGUUCCUGCGCAACGUUAAUCGACGCAGGGUUAGUCGGUUCCUAAGGCGAGGCUGAAAAGCGUAGUCGAUGGGAAACAGGUUAAUAUUCCUGUACUUCUGGUUACUGCGAUGGAGGGACGGAGAAGGCUAGGCCAGCUUGGCGUUGGUUGUCCAAGUUUAAGGUGGUAGGCUGAAAUCUUAGGUAAAUCCGGGGUUUCAAGGCCGAGAGCUGAUGACGAGUCGUCUUUUAGAUGACGAAGUGGUUGAUGCCAUGCUUCCAAGAAAAGCUUCUAAGCUUCAGGUAACCAGGAACCGUACCCCAAACCGACACAGGUGGUCGGGUAGAGAAUACCAAGGCGCUUGAGAGAACUCGGGUGAAGGAACUAGGCAAAAUGGCACCGUAACUUCGGGAGAAGGUGCGCCGGCUAGGGUGAAGGAUUUACUCCGUAAGCUCUGGCUGGUCGAAGAUACCAGGCCGCUGCGACUGUUUAUUAAAAACACAGCACUCUGCAAACACGAAAGUGGACGUAUAGGGUGUGACGCCUGCCCGGUGCCGGAAGGUUAAUUGAUGGGGUUAGCGCAAGCGAAGCUCUUGAUCGAAGCCCCGGUAAACGGCGGCCGUAACUAUAACGGUCCUAAGGUAGCGAAAUUCCUUGUCGGGUAAGUUCCGACCUGCACGAAUGGCGUAACGAUGGCGGCGCUGUCUCCACCCGAGACUCAGUGAAAUUGAAAUCGCUGUGAAGAUGCAGUGUAUCCGCGGCUAGACGGAAAGACCCCGUGAACCUUUACUGUAGCUUUGCACUGGACUUUGAGCCUGCUUGUGUAGGAUAGGUGGGAGGCUUUGAAGCGUGGACGCCAGUUCGCGUGGAGCCAUCCUUGAAAUACCACCCUGGCAUGCUUGAGGUUCUAACUCUGGUCCGUAAUCCGGAUCGAGGACAGUGUAUGGUGGGCAGUUUGACUGGGGCGGUCUCCUCCUAAAGAGUAACGGAGGAGUACGAAGGUGCGCUCAGACCGGUCGGAAAUCGGUCGUAGAGUAAAAGGCAAAAGCGCGCUUGACUGCGAGACAGACACGUCGAGCAGGUACGAAAGUAGGUCUUAGUGAUCCGGUGGUUCUGUAUGGAAGGGCCAUCGCUCAACGGAUAAAAGGUACUCCGGGGAUAACAGGCUGAUACCGCCCAAGAGUUCAUAUCGACGGCGGUGUUUGGCACCUCGAUGUCGGCUCAUCACAUCCUGGGGCUGAAGCCGGUCCCAAGGGUAUGGCUGUUCGCCAUUUAAAGUGGUACGCGAGCUGGGUUUAGAACGUCGUGAGACAGUUCGGUCCCUAUCUGCCGUGGACGUUUGAGAUUUGAGAGGGGCUGCUCCUAGUACGAGAGGACCGGAGUGGACGAACCUCUGGUGUUCCGGUUGUCACGCCAGUGGCAUUGCCGGGUAGCUAUGUUCGGAAAAGAUAACCGCUGAAAGCAUCUAAGCGGGAAACUUGCCUCAAGAUGAGAUCUCACUGGGAACUUGAUUCCCCUGAAGGGCCGUCGAAGACUACGACGUUGAUAGGCUGGGUGUGUAAGCGUUGUGAGGCGUUGAGCUAACCAGUACUAAUUGCCCGUGAGGCUUGACCAU
rnacentral:rRNA from 1 species